GUUGAUCUAAGUAGGAGAAGUCAAGAUCAGGCUCGAAUAACCAUGGCUGGCCGGAGCAAGGUCGGAGACAACUAUAGAACUGGAAUCGAACAAAGUCUGGCCCAACUUCUUCAAGGUCAGGCCUUGGAACCAUAGUAGCCAAGCAUGUAGGAGUCAUAUGAAUUCAGUAUAUACUUCAAUAGCCUUGGAAGCCAUGGAUACCGGUGGUUUUAUGGUGGAAGUGGAGGGAGACGGCUAGGGUUUCUGAGAGAGAUUGCGAGAGAAUUGAGGGAAGGGGGUAAUUCAAG
rnacentral:lncRNA from 1 species